AUACGGAGGGUGCAAGCGUUAUUCGGAAUCACUGGGCGUAAAGGGUGCGUAGGCGGUUUGAUAAGUCUGAUGUGAAAUCCUAUGGCUCAACCAUAGAACUGCAUUGGAAACUGUCAGACUAGAAUACUGAAGGGGCAGAUGGAAUUAGUGGUGUAGGGGUAAAAUCCGUAGAUAUCACUAGGAAUACCGAAAGCGAAAGCGAUCUGCUGGGAAGUUAUUGACGCUGAGGCACGAAAGCGUGGGGAGCAAACGGGAUUAGAAACCCCUGUAGUCC
rnacentral:rRNA from 1 species